UGGCUCAGUGGUAGAGUGCUUGCCUCGUAUGCAUGAGGCCCUGAGUUCGAUUCCUCAG
rnacentral:tRNA from 1 species